GUUUUGCUUGUGUGGCAAUGGUUUGGGGCCAAACUAUAGCACUUUUUGAAGACUCAGCCCCAUAAACGGACAUUUUCUGGACCAAAGCUCUGCUCAGAUCCUUCCCGCCGCUCUGACUGCGUUAGUCCUGAUCACAUCACUCUGUGGGUUGACGAAAAUGCAAGACCUUGGGGAAGAUGAAAGGACAUCUUUAGUCAAGAUGGCUCACAUGUCAGCCUCACAACUGCCACGAGGGGUACGUGGGGAGCAUGUUUGGUGUUUGUCAGACUCUUCCUUUCCCUCUGGGAGUGCACAAGCUCACAUCCAGUUACGCUGGUAUAGCAGCAGGGAUUUUUAAAGCAAAUUUUAUUUUCAAACGAACACGUGGGAGAAAGCGUUCUUUUCCUCUGGGAGCCUGGCCCCUUUUCCCCAGUCUAGUGGCAGCGUGACUGAGCCGCACUCCAUCCCAUCUGUUCUGCAGCUGCUGAGUUAAAGAAGGAAGCCGGGACGCUUUCUCACGUUGGAGCCGCACCAGGCCUGAGUCGCUUAUACGUCGCUAUUGGCACUCAUUUCUAUGUGAAAAUGAAGUUAAUAAGGCUGCCUUCAUGCCACAGAAACACAGCAAUUCCAUAUGAGAAAAUAGUUAUUCAACUGGUAUUUGAUAUCAUAUGUCUGUCGCUUGAUUUGUCCCAAUUGGGAAGCUACCAAGUUAAAGUAUCUCAAUGUCCAGUGACCAACCCAAGCUCAAAUCCUGCCAACAGGCCACCCUUCAGAGAUACUCCAUGGAACCUUUUAAAAGACCUUUAAAAUUCAAUUAACCGCUCCCACGACGUGAGAUCCACUGGACACUCCUCUGCAAACUGAGGGAGCUUUGGUCCUAGCGUCGCCAACCAGUCUCUGGAGAAGCUGCAACCUGUGGAAUGGAAAACUCCUAACUCACUUUCAAAAGCCUGUGAAACGAAGUCAGAAAUUCCUAUAAUGUCAAUAGCCAUAAAAAUAUGCCUUGCGCAAAG